rnacentral:rRNA from 1 species
UACGUAGGGGGCAAGCGUUGUCCGGAUUUACUGGGCGUAAAGAGCGUGUAGGCGGCCAAACAGGUCCGUUGUGAAAACUGGAGGCUCAACCUCCAGACGUCGACGGAAGCCGUGUGGCUAGAGUCCGGAAGAGGAGAGUGGAAUUCCUGGUGUAGCGGUGAAAUGCGCAGAUAUCAGGAAGAACACCAAUGGCGAAGGCAGCUCUCUGGGACGGUACUGACGCUGAGACGCGAAAGCGUGGGGAGCGAACAGG